GACAGGAAAAGGGAGGAAUCACAUAACUGACCUCAAGUGGAAGAGAUGCCAAUAAUACAUCCAUGCCAAGGAGAAGAAGGCCAAGUCUUGAGAGUAUCCUCCCUGGACCUUGGAUGGGAAAAUGAAGAGCAGGGUGUGCUACAUGCCUCCUUGAUGAAUGGGACCUGACAUAUGCAGAUCCUAAGGAGAGAGCCACCCAAUCACACCUCAAAAGGGC